rnacentral:pre_miRNA from 1 species
AAAAAGGCAAACUCUGGAUUUUCGUGUCCAACUUUAACUGUCCGUUUUAUAUGAAAUUUUUUUAUAAUUUGUAUUUUUAUUAUUGUUAGAUUAUAAAACAUGAUUAAUAUUUUAUGUGUGACUUGUCUUUUUAUUUUUUUCAUAACUUUUUCAAAUAAGACGGACGGUCAAACGUUGGACACAGAAACC